ensembl:lncRNA
AUGUUUCCUGAGUUUUGUUUCCUGUUUAAUCUUGUUGUUUUCUUUGCCCUAGUGAAUUGUGGAAAGCCUGAUGUGGACUUUAAUGGGAUGGUGUAUGGGAGUGAUUGGUGGGUGGGUUCUGUAGUGCGGUACGACUGCAGACCAGGGUUCGUGUUGGUGGGAGAUCCUGCUCGAGCUUGUCAGUCCAAUGGGAAAUGGACACCCAAACCAUCCUGUCUUAGAGUGUGUUAUCGUGGCCGGGUUGAGAUCAAUGAGAAGGACAUCGACGGGACAUGUUCGUCUACCUGUCCUGAUGCUAAAAGCUAUGCAGUCCCUCUGAACCACAAAUGCAGUCGUAUUGAGAACUGCAGAACUAAAGAAUCAGGCUGGAAGCGCUGGUUUACACGCUGCAAUUUCUGCGACUGUGACUGCUUCACUCCCUGUGCUUUACAGGGUAGAAGACAGUGAAUCUGUAUUCAUUAUCCUCAGGAAACAACCGAAUUAAUUUUUAUUUGAAUGUAAAGAGAGAGGCUUGAUGUAACCAUAACAGAACUUGUCAAACUAAAAGCAUUUUAUGCAUCUCUAGAUUCUAAAUAUCUUCACAGUUGGAGACCUUUAUUUUAAUCACUGACUACAUAACCCCAGAUGUUCGGAAAUGUUGCUGUUAUCCCAAGCACAGAUGUUUAGAAAGUUUAGAAGUUAGUCGCUGUGGAAAGAUCAGAGAAACAUUUCUGUUCCAGUAUUAAACUAUUGUAGAUCUAAUGAAAUUAUUAGUUUAAUUAAAGGUGCUGUAGGGAACUUUUGUAAAAAAAUAUUUUUUACAUAUUUAUUCAACCUGUCAUUAUGUCCUGACAGUAGAAUAUGAGACAGAUAAUCUUUGAAAAAAUCAAGCUCCUCUGGCUCCUCCCAUUGGUCCUAUUGCCAUUUGCAGAAAGUCAUGCACUCCCGAUAAAAAAUAACCAAUCAGAGCUGUGGUCCGUAACUUUGUUUGUGUUCAAAAUGUAGAAAAAUGAACAUAAUAAGCGAGUACACCAUGAAUCCAUUUUCCAAACCGUGUUUUUAGCUUGUCCUGAAUCACUAGGGUACACCUAUAAUAAGUGUUUAUAUUCAGACUAUUUUAGAUUGCUUCGGGGGUACCGUGGCGGAGUAACCCAGUAUCUUUGUGAUUCUUCAUAGACAUAAACAGAGAGAAGUAGUUCCGGCUACAAUGUUCUUCCGCAAGCAGUUCUGUUUAUUAACCGCUAGAGCGUCAAAAGUUCCCUACCGCAGAUUUAAGAAAUUAUUAUCUUGUGAUUGAUACAAGAUGUGGCAUUAAUAUAGUUGAUCCGAAUCAGAGUGAUCUUGUUAAUGAUAGUCACUCUUAUGGGUACCUGUUCCAGCUUGCCUAUUCGGGAGAGAGAGAGAGAGAGAAAAACAACAACAUUGUUUAGUUUAAAUGCAUGCUGUAAUCAUUCAGAGUAUUAUUAACUUUUAUAACACAUAAUGAGGUAAUCUGUGAUGAAUUAACUGCUUUUGGCCCUUAUUCAGUUUCUGUGGAUAAUAGUGUCUCCAGAAAAGCCAGCAUCGGUAUAUCAGAUUUCAUUCUUUAUAUGUCAUUAGGAUCCUAGAGAUGCAAGGACUUAAAUUCAAUCCUCACCUGAGUCUGCAGGCAGUCCCUGCCCUGGGAAAGACAGCAAAGCUGCCUGCAAACACAUAGCAAGGUUUUUAUUUUAAUUUUUUUAUUAUAUUAUUAAAAAAACUAUAGAACAGAAAAAGAAAAGAGCAAGCUAACAUUAGAGACCUUUGCUUUAGUUAAUUGUAUAAUAAAUAAAAAGAAAACCUAUAGAAUACAAAAAAGAUGAGAGGAGCUAGUGUUAGUUUUUUUUUUUUUUAAGAAAACAAGAAGUUAGUAAAUUUAUAGAGUGCAAGUCUAAAUGGGGCAAGUUUUUUUUUUUUUUUAGAAAGAAUAUAAUUAGAAUAGAGAUUGCUAGAGUUAGAGGGUCAAAUAAAGAUGGAAGAUAUGUGUUUUUAGCUGAAUCUUGAAGAUUGAGUUGGAGCACAAGAAGUUCCUGCAAGAGGAGUCAAAGAAAUAAUGAACUCAAAUCAACAGUUCAAUAACUAGCUAGCUAACUGUGAGCCAGGUAAAAGCGGAGAUUAAACAGGCAGGGGUCAAAGCCAGAAAGCAGUCCAAAGAAAACAUCAGUCCAGAUGGUAAUUCAGGCACAAGGUCAGGGGCAAGGGAGGGACAGAGCCAAAAACAAAAAAAACAGUCCCAUUACCAACAACCUCUAAAUCUUCUCUCUUCUUUCUAUCUGUCUAUCUGUCUCUAUCUAGACAGCUAUAGACAUCCAUCUAUCUCUAUCUCUGUCUAUCUGUCUGUCUGUCUUAAUUUUAUAUCAACAAAUUUUAUUCCAUUUAACAGGACAAUAAAAGUGCUGUAAAAUAUUGUAAGAAUAUAUAUAUUUUUUGAAGUUUAGAAUUUGUGGGUUAUCUGUAUGUCUUCCACAUUAGCUGUAUUUUUCCUUUAAUAAAAAUAAAUAAAUAAAUAAAAAAGCAAUUUCAACUGCUGCAAGGGAAGUAUUACGGUACAUUUCCCUCUCCAUUCCCAACACCAGAUUAGUCUAACGUAGAAAAAGUGAAUAGGAUAUUGAGGAUAUCACAACAUGUGUACUCGCCAUAGAUGAUGUAGGGCGUCGUUUGAACGCGAGUUACCCCGUUGCUUUCACCGAAAAUAUCCCGAGCACUGCAGCAUCAGCAUCAGAAGCAGCAGCAGCCGAUGCGCAGGUGCCGCCUUUAAAGAGACCGCGCACUCGAGUUUCCCGUCCUGCUGGGUAGGCUGUAAUUUCCCUUUGUUUAAGUUUUUUGUCUCCGUUAUCUCCAUCCCCACCCGUUUCUUUGCUUCCCUACAAAGCAAUCUCAAAGAAAAGGGGUUCUAAAUUUAGUUUUAACAUACGCUUUGAUCCUCCUGCCCCACAAAAAAAAAAAAAAAAAAACAUCCCUGUUGCUGGAGAUCACAAAAACAGAGUAUUAUCAUAAAAGUUUUGCUAUUUAACCUGCACGAAAAAUUCUGAUAUCUAUAUAUGGACAUACAGAAGGCUACGGAGAUCUCCGAGCAGGCAAUAAAAGACACUGUUGCACCUGGUUGAAUUUUCUCUUGGAUCAUGGAAAACCUGAGAUCUCCACCUGUCCCGUGACCAUAAGAUGGCAUCAGGCCAGCCCUGCCAUCACUUCCUGCAUGGGGCUUUGGAAUAUAAACAACUCACAACAGCCCAGUAUGCCUUGCGCGUCCACCACCAUCACAAAUAAACCAAACACAGUAAUUGAUUAAUCAGAAGAUAAAUCUUAUUUUUGGCGGGAAAUGGGCAUUCCCAAAACUUCUUGCGCGAACCACAACAUUUAGACUACGUUUUAUUUAGGAAAUGCUUAUUCUCUUUUUCUUUUGUUUUUGUUGUCAGUUGUGUAUAGAUACUUUUAAGUGUUUUAUGGUGUUUAUUGUUUAUGUCACUAUUUGAGUCUCUUGUGUGUUUAUGUGACCAACAUUGAUUUGCAAUUCUUAUUUGUUGGCUAUAUUAGGCUAGUUAUAGCAACCACAGCUGCAAGAAUUAACAACAAAUUUAUCCCCCAAACAAUUUACAUCGCAGAAUCUUGCUGUUUUUUUUUUAUUUAAUUUUUUUUACAUGUAACCCUUAAACACAAGCAAGGCAUCACGUUCAAUAUAUCACAACCACUUCAAUCGUCCUCCUGUGUAAAACGGGCUUUUUGUCUCUGACAAGAGCUUACGCCCAGUGCUACAGAUCGCCGGGCGUGCCAGGGCUCCUCUGUUUCACACUGCGGUGCAGCAUCCGGAGGACCGGCAGGAUGAGCACAGCUCCUCUCAACACGGCUCCAUACGCCUACUGGAUGACUGUUAACGCACAGUGAUCGACUCACGGUUUGCCCUUCCGUCAGCUGUCCGAAAUGAAACUUCUGGUUUAACACGGAUGCUGCAUCUUUUUAAUUAUGCACCACU